CAAUGGAGGGACGCAGUAGGCUAAGGAAUGCAUGCGAUUGGAAGUGCAUGUCCAAGCAAUGAGUCUUGAGUAGAGUUAAAUGCUUUACUCUUUAAGGACAAGUUGUGACGGGGAGCGAAAUAAUAGUAGCGAAGUUCCUGAUGUCACACUGCCAAGAAAAGCUUCUAGUGAGAAAACAACUGCCCGUACCGUAAACCGACACAGGUAGUCGAGGAGAGUAUCCUAAGGUGAGCGAGCGAACUCUCGUUAAGGAACUCGGCAAAAUGACCCCGUAACUUCGGGAGAAGGGGUGCUGACUUCGGUCAGCCGCAGUGAAUAGGCCCAAGCGACUGUUUAUCAAAAACACAGGUCUCUGCAAAAUCGUAAGAUGAAGUAUAGGGGCUGACGCCUGCCCGGUGCUGGAAGGUUAAGAGGAUGGGUUAGCUUCGGCGAAGCUCAGAAUUGAAGCCCCAGUAAACGGCGGCCGUAACUAUAACGGUCCUAAGGUAGCGAAAUUCCUUGUCGGGUAAGUUCCGACC
rnacentral:rRNA from 1 species